rnacentral:snRNA from 1 species
GGAUGUGAGGGCUAUCUGGCUGAGACAUUGUGCCCAAUUGAUCACCAGGGUUGAUUCAGCUGAUCUGGCUGGCUAGGCAGGUGUCCUCUUCCUCCCCUAACCAUUCCAUGUGCAUCUGUGUCCCUCCUGAAGUUGCUUGCUCGGUAGAAGAGGACGGCUUUUCUGGAAUAGAGACUGAUUAGUCUUCGGUUGAGGGUAUAGGAGUAGUUGCGCUCCCCUGCUAGAACCUUCAAACAAGCUCUGAAGAAGAGUUUUUCUUUUUCUUGAUAAUAACUGUAGUUAUUGUAAGUGACCCUAAAAUAACUUGGAAAGAAAAAAUGCAUUAUACUAUCUCUUGAAAUAUUAUUU